UACGUAGGGUGCAAGCGUUAAUCGGAAUGACUGGGCGUAAAGGGUGUGUAGGCGGUCUGCAAAGUCUGAUGUGAAAUCCCCGGGCUCAACCUGGGAACUGCGUUGGAUACUGGUAGACUAGAGUACGUAAGAGGGGGGUGGAAUUCCACGUGUAGCAGUGAAAUGCGUAGAGAUGUGGAGGAACACCGAUGGCGAAGGCAGCUCGCUGGGACGGUACUGACGCUGAGACGCGAAAGCGUGGGGAGCAAACAGG
rnacentral:rRNA from 1 species